AGCGAACUUGUGGGAGCUUGCUCCCGGAGGUUAGCGGCGGACGGGUGAGUAACACGUGGGCAACCUGCCUGUAAGACUGGGAUAACUUCGGGAAACCGGAGCUAAUACCGGAUGACUUCUUUUCUCUCCUGAUACAUUAUGGAAAGACGGUUUCCGCUGUCACUUAUAGAUGGGCCCGCGGCGCAUUAGCUAGUUGGUGAGGUAAUGGCUCACCAAGGCGACGAUGCGUAGCCGACCUGAGAGGGUGAUCGGCCACACUGGGACUGAGACACGGCCCAGACUCCUACGGGAGGCAGCAGUAGGGAAUCUUCCGCAAUGGACGAAAGUCUGACGGAGCAACGCCGCGUGAACGAUGAAGGCCUUCGGGUCGUAAAGUUCUGUUGUUAGGGAAGAACAAGUGCCAGAUUAACUGCUGGGACCCUGACCGGACCUAACCCAAAAGCCACG
rnacentral:rRNA from 1 species